GACGAACGCUGGCGGCGUGCUUAACACAUGCAAGUCGAACGGAAAGGCCCUGCUAUUGUGGGGUGCUCGAGUGGCGAACGGGUGAGUAACACGUGAGUAACCUGCCCUUGACUAUGGGAUAACUUCAGGAAACUGGGGCGAAUACCGGAUAGGAGCUCCUGCUGCAUGGUGGGGGGUGGAAAGAUGCGGCGGUCGGGGAUGGACUCGCGGCUUAUCAGCUUGUCUGUGGGGUAGUGGCUUACCAAGGCUUUGACGGGUAGCCGGCCUGAGAGGGUGACCGGCCACAUUGGGACUGAGAUACGGCACGGACACCAACGGGAGGCAGAAGUGGCAAAUACUCAACAAUGGGCGGCAGCCUGAUGCAGCAACGCCGCGUGCGGGAUGACGGCCUUCGGGUUGUAACCCGCUCUCGCCUGUGACGAAGCGUGGGUGCCGGUCAUGGGUAAAGAGGCACGGGCUAACUACGUG
rnacentral:rRNA from 1 species